rnacentral:rRNA from 1 species
GACGAACGCUGGCGGCGUGCUUAACACAUGCAAGUCGAACGGAAAGGCCCUGCUUUUGUGGGGUGCUCGAGUGGCGAACGGGUGAGUAACACGUGAGUAACCUGCCCUUUACUUUGGGAUAACUUCAGGAAACUGUGGCUAAUACCGGAUAGGAGCUCCUGCUGCAUGGUGGGGGUUGGAAAGUUUCGGCGGUUGGGGAUGGACUCGCGGCUUAUCAGCUUGUUGGUGGGGUAGUGGCUUACCGAGGCUUUGACGGGUAGCCGGCCUGAGAGGGUGACCGGACACAUUGGGACUGAGAUACGGCCCAGACUCCUACGGGAGGCAGCAGUGGGGAAUAUUGCAAAAUGGGCGGAAGCCUGAUGCAGCAACGCCGCGUGCGGGAUGACGGCCUUCGGGUUGUAAACCGCUUUCGCCUGUGACGAAGCGUGAGUGACGGUAAUGGGUAAAGAAGCACCGGCUAACUACGUG